AACGAACGCUGGCGGCAUGCCUAACACAUGCAAGUCGAACGAGACCUUCGGGUCUAGUGGCGCACGGGUGCGUAACGCGUGGGAACCUGCCCUUAGGUUCGGAAUAACUCCCCGAAAGGGGUGCUAAUACCGGAUAAUGUCUUCGGACCAAAGAUUUAUCGCCCUUGGAUGGGCCCGCGUUGGAUUAGCUAGUUGGUAGGGUAAAAGCCUACCAAGGCGACGAUCCAUAGCUGGUCUGAGAGGAUGAGCAGCCACACUGGGACUGAGACACGGCCCAGACUCCUACGGGAGGCAGCAGUGGGGAAUAUUGGACAAUGGGCGAAAGCCUGAUCCAGCAAUGCCGCGUGAGUGAUGAAGGCCUUAGGGUUGUAAAGCUCUUUUACCCGGGAUGAUAAUGACAGUACCGGGAGAAUAAGCUCCGGCUAACUCCGUG
rnacentral:rRNA from 1 species